UGGCACUUCAUAUACUAGUUCGCGGCAUUGAUACUCUUGUAGAUAAAAUUCGAUUGGAAAAGCGCAUGUUAAUUAUGUAUAACACCAUGCCAACGAAAGCCUGAUUAAAUAUUUCAAGAGUCGACGAAAAGUUUUGUGUAAAUGUAAUAUUCGGUCACGCAAAAGUAUGUGAGACGCAGGAAUAGCAAAAAAAAAAGAAUCGGUAAGAAGAACAGUCAUCCUUUGUCCUCAAAUGUCAACAGUCGUUACUCGUCAAUAAACGCCGAGGGAUCGUAGAAUCAAAACAUCGCGAACCUUCGAGAUGGCCAAACUUAUUCUGGUUUGCAAACUUUCUUCUAGUGUUUCCAUUACAGUUCAAGCCGGUGAGCGAUACACAUGUUACGGACUACGUGUAUCCAUACGUUACUUAUCACUUUCAUCGCGUGAUUAAAAUAUUUUGUCGGUCUUUGGAAUUUAAUUAAUUGGCGUGGUGUUAUAUAAACGACGUUAUUUUAACGCGUGUAUUUUCGAUCAAAUCGUAUCUACGAGUAUUAGUGUCAGUGUUACAACGCAACAGCCAGGAGAAUUGAUUUGGAAGCCAGGACGGAGAACGCAAGACGCCGGGAUGCGAGCGGGCAUACAUCAUAUAUUUCCAGGAACCUAAGGUUUCGCACGGCGGUGAAAAAAUCCCGACUUCGUGCAAGCAUGCCUUGCUUGAUAGCGGUGGCCAUCGAGAAGGACGAUUCUACAUCGUUGAGCAAAAGGCGUAACCGACGUCUGCCGGGAAUAUAGCCGGGAAUCACAUCGAGUGUGAAAAUAUUUGGAACGGUCGGGCUCUUUGACUUUGACCCGGAUCGAACGUCUCCCGGCUCGUUCUUGGUUUCUACAUCUAGGAAAACCUUGCUCGCCGCGAAGAAGAAGAGGUUUCAGGAAAGUGUGCGACAUCUGAAGUACGAUGCUGAAAGUGAUGAACGUAGCCGGUUAGUCAGGUCCAACGAGCUUAACUCACAGUAGGUACAAGGUAAUCCAGAUGUCUAGUUGGAUCCCAAUAGAUCACCGAAUUUUUCUACGUUCUAAGUUCGUACCAACUUGCGGGAGACUCUAGUUUUCACGCGAUACUAUUUGUUGAUAGCAUCUUUUGAGGGUAAAGCAGAAUCUUACAUUGAUAUCAUAUUGUCUAGUUCAAAAACUAUUUCUGCUCUGCAUCUGCAUAGAACUUACAUUAUUUAACGUAGCAUUUGUCACGAUAUGGAAUAUUAAAUUAUGCAUUCUCUUUGUUAACACACAAUUAUUUAAAAAAUAAUAAUAAAAUAAAACAUUAUUUACAAUUAUACCGUGUA